AUCAUGACAGCAUUUGGAUUAAAACAUUUUCUGUUACUUUGCAUGCAAACUAGUUUACUGUGUUCACAGAGUGGCCAGUCAUGGGACCAUAAGCAACACCUGCUCUUUGAGUGUCUUUCAUACCAUUACCAUCAGCACCAGAAACUCCAGGUGCCCGGAGCUUAAAGUAAAAAUCCUAAAGGACAUAAGCUUCUUCCAUGCAAUGUGCUGGGUCCAGAACAUACUGUUAAAUAUC
rnacentral:lncRNA from 1 species